UUCCAGACUCCUACGGGAGGCAGCAGUAGGGAAUAUUGCACAAUGGAGGAAACCCUGAUGCAGCGACGCCGCGUGAGUGAAGAAGUAUUUCGGUAUGUAAAGCUCUAUCAGCAGGGAAGAAAAUGACGGUACCUGACUAAGAAGCCCCGGCUAACUACGUGCCAGCAGCCGCGGUAAUACGUAGGGGGCAAGCGUUAUCCGGAUUUACUGGGUGUAAAGGGAGCGUAGACGGCGAUGCAAGUCUGAAGUGAAAGGCGGGGGCCCAACCCCCGGACUGCUUUGGAAACUGUAUAGCUGGAGUGCAGGAGAGGUAAGUGGAAUUCCUAGUGUAGCGGUGAAAUGCGUAGAUAUUAGGAGGAACACCAGUGGCGAAGGCGGCUUACUGGACUGUAACUGACGUUGAGGCUCGAAAGCGUGGGGAGCAAACAGGAUUAGAUACCCUCGUAAUA
rnacentral:rRNA from 1 species